UACGUAGGGUGCGAGCGUUAGUCGGAAUUACUGGGCGUAAAGCGUGCGCAGGCGGUCUGUUAAGACCGAUGUGAAAUCCCCGGGCUUAACCUGGGAACUGCAUUGGUGACUGGCAGGCUUUGAGUGUGGCAGAGGGAGGUAGAAUUCCACGUGUAGCAGUGAAAUGCGUAGGGAUGUGGAGGAAUACCGAUGGCGAAGGCAGCCUCCUGGGCCAACACUGACGCUCAUGCACGAAAGCGUGGGGAGCAAACAGG
rnacentral:rRNA from 1 species